rnacentral:rRNA from 1 species
CCUACGGGAGGCAGCAGUGGGGGAUAUUGCACAAUGGGGGGAACCCUGAUGCAGCGACGCCGCGUGGGUGAAGACGCGCCUCGGCGCGUAAAGCCCUGUCAGCAGGGGAGAAACUGACGGUACCUGAAGGAGAAGCCCCGGCUAACUACGUGCCAGCCGCCGCGGUAAUACGGAGGGGGCAAGCGUUAUCCGGAUUUACUGGGUGUAAUGGGGGCGCAGACGGCGAUGCAAGCCAGGAGUGAAAGCCCGGGGCCCAACCCCGGGACUGCUCGUGGAACUGCGUGGCUGGAGUGCAGGAGGGGCAGGCGGAAUUCGUGGUGUAGCGGUGAAAUGCUUAGAUAUCAGGAGGAACACCGGUGGCGAAGGCGGCCUGCUGGACUGCAACUGACGUUGAGGCCCGAAAGCGUGGGGAGCAAACAGGAUUAGAUACCCGAGUAGUC